rnacentral:rRNA from 1 species
GAUGAACGCUAGCGAUAGGCUUAACACAUGCAAGUCGAGGGGCAGCACAAGGUAGCUUGCUAUCUGGGUGGCGACCGGCGCACGGGUGCGUAACGCGUAUGCAACUUGCCCUAUACAGGAGGAUAACCCGUCGAAAGACGGACUAAUACUGCGUAUGCUCACAACUUGGCAUCAAGUGGUGAGGAAAGAAAUUCGGUAUAGGAUAGGCAUGCGUCCCAUUAGCUUGUUGGUGAGGUAACGGCUCACCAAGGCAACGAUGGGUAGGGGAACUGAGAGGUUUAUCCCCCACACUGGUACUGAGACACGGACCAGACUCCUACGGGAGGCAGCAGUGAGGAAUAUUGGUCAAUGGACGCGAGCCUGAACCAGCCAAGUCGCGUGAAGGAUGACUGUCUUAUGGAUUGUAAACUUCUUUUAUACGGGAAUAACAAGAGUCACGUGUGACUCCCUGCAUGUACCGUAUGAAUAAGCAUCGGCUAACUCCGUG